AUACGGAGGGUGCAAGCGUUACUCGGAAUCACUGGGCGUAAAGCGCGCGCAGGCGGCUAUUUAAGUUGGGUGUGAAAGCCUACGGCUCAACCGUAGAACUGCAUCCAAAACUAUUUAGCUAGAGUGUGGGAGAGGAAGAUGGAAUUAGUUGUGUAGGGGUAAAAUCCGUAGAGAUAACUAGGAAUACCAAAAGCGAAGGCAAUCUUCUGGAACACUACUGACGCUGAGGAGCGAAAGCGUGGGGAGCAAACAGGAUUAGAUACCCUAGUAGUCC
rnacentral:rRNA from 1 species